UACGAAGGGGGCUAGCGUUGUUCGGAAUUACUGGGCGUAAAGGGCGCGUAGGCGGUACUUCAAGUCAGGCGUGAAAGCCCCGGGCUCAACCUGGGAACCGCGCUUGAGACUGGAGAACUAGAGUUCGGGAGAGGAUGGUGGAAUUCCCAGUGUAGAGGUGAAAUUCGUAGAUAUUGGGAAGAACACCGAUGGCGAAGGCAGCCAUCUGGACCGACACUGACGCUGAGGCGCGAAAGCGUGGGGAGCGAUCCGG
rnacentral:rRNA from 1 species